GGGAUACCACUUGGAAACAGGUGCUAAUACCGGAUAACAACAAUAGCUGCAUGGCUAUUGCUUAAAAGGCGGCGAAAGCUGUCGCUAAAGGAUGGACCCGCGGUGCAUUAGCUAGUUGGUAAGGUAAUGGCUUACCAAGGCGACGAUGCAUAGCCGAGUUGAGAGACUGAUCGGCCACAUUGGGACUGAGACACGGCCCAAACUCCUACGGGAGGCAGCAGUAGGGAAUCUUCCACAAUGGGCGAAAGCCUGAUGGAGCAACGCCGCGUGAGUGAAGAAGGUUUUCGGAUCGUAAAGCUCUGUUGUUGGUGAAGAAGGAUAGAGGUAGUAACUGGCCCCUAUUUGACGGUAAUCAACCAGAAAGUCACGGCUAACUACGUGCCAGCAGCCGCGGUAAUACGUAGGUGGCAAGCGUUGUCCGGAUUUAUUGGGCGUAAAGCGAGCGCAGGCGGAAAGAUAAGUCUGAUGUGAAAGCCCCCGGCUUAACCGAGGAAUUGCAUCGGAAACUGUGUUUCUUGAGUGCAGAAGAGGAGAGUGGAACUCCAUGUGUAGCGGUGGAAUGCGUAGAUAUAUGGAAGAACACCAGUGGCGAAGGCGGCUCUCUGGUCUGUAACUGACGCUGAGGCUCGAAAGCAUGGGUAGCGAACAGGAUUAGAUACCCUGGUAGUCCAUGCCGUAAACGAUGAGUGAUAGGUGUUGGGA
rnacentral:rRNA from 1 species